rnacentral:snRNA from 1 species
UUACUGUGGCUUCUCUUCAUCGUAUGAUUCUUUCGCCUUUUACUAAAGAAUUCCGUGGAGGGGAGCAUUUCAAUGAGUCUUAAGAUAUUUUUCUGCACCGCACUUCGGUC